rnacentral:snoRNA from 1 species
CUGAUGAGACCCCCACUUUUAGCAGGAAUCUCUUCGACAGCCAUGUGAGAUGCAAUGGAAUCUGACC